GCAGCGCAGCAUGCAUGCAUUAUUGCUCAACGCGCGUUGAUUGUAUGUACGCAUUGCAAAUUCACCGGCUGGCUGACUGAACUCGAAACAAAAAGACGCAAUUUAAUAAGUUUUCAAAAUCAAGUGAAACAUCUUCGACCGUCGUUAUCUCCCAAGAUUCUGUUACUCUCCAACCAUGCUGCAGAAUUACAGUAGAUAGCAAAAACUAGUUCAGAAACCUCUCUCAUGCCCCUUCCUUCGCAUCAUCGUAAACCCCAUUAAACUCAGGCAAAAUGCAAAAUUGUAGGAGAAGUCUAUCGGUGAGUACCCAUCAUGGAAUAAGCACAGGCCUCUGGUCCCAUUCCAUAUUAUUUUCCUUUUUAAUCCCAAUUGAUUUUGGCUUCUCCUUAUCCUCUUUUAAAUCCACUUCCUUGCCUACUGUAUAUACACACUGUUUAAAUUUGUAUACUUUCUCCACAUCACAAGACCUUUUGUAUAUGUACUGUAAUUUGCAGCUACAUGUAUGAGAUACCUGUAUACAUGUCAUGUUGGUAAUUCUCCACAGUAUUGCAGUCAAGAUUUCAACAUAGAGGGCGACAUUUCCUUGCUUUCUGCACAGGUCAACAAAUGCUUCUAGAUUUGAGACUAGUGGAGUCAAAUUGGAAAGUUUUUGUUCAUGUUACUUCAUUCUUUUUAAGAAAAAAAAACUGCCAAAUCCUUUAUAAUUAGUUGACACUCUUCCUAUUUCUAUUUUUUUUUUUGUGAAGAGCCUCUUAGGGAAAUGCUGCCCUCUUGUUUUGAAGUUGUCAUUUUAUAUUGGGAGAAUUUACUUACAUUAUCAAGGCGUGUGUAACAAAUGGAAAUGCACGGAAUACCACCUAAUUACAUGUUAAUCUCAUUCUUGUGUUUGUUUGCAUGUUUUCUUGUAUAUAUUCAAACUAAACUGGGGAAUGUUUCAUGAGAGGACUCAGACAAGUUCUGUUUUAUCUGAGAGUAAUUAUUACAGUAACAGUGCUUCUUACCUCGGUCACAUUUGCUCUUCGGCGGCCGUACGGCAAGUCGAAAACAGCCGUUUUAACUUUUGCACCAGCUUCAUAUAGGUGGUUUGAAAAAAAAUGAAUAAAACGCCUGUUUUCAACUCUGCGUACGGCCGCCGUAGAGCAAAUGUGACCGAGGUCUUAGUCUAUCAAAUACAAGGAAAAUUGCAAUUUCGAAUAAACAAAUCUGCAUUAAUUAUGGUUCCAAUUGAAUUCUGGCUAUUUACUCUUUAAUGCAAGCAAUUCCUUGAUGUAUAGUGCUGUAUUUCCGGUACCUUGUACAUUUACAAUGUAGUUCUUGACAAGUAAAUUUUCGACUAACAAUUGUGUAUUGGCAAAACAAUUGGCAUUUAUUGAUAAAGUACAAUGCCUUUGGGUGAGUUAGAAAUAUGUAGAUAUUAUUAGUCAUUUAUGAUGUUAAUGCAUGAUUAUUCACACAAAUACAGAUUAACAUUUUAAUUACAAUGUAGCAUGUGGGGCCAGUUGUGUCUUUUUGACAAUUGUUAGUUUUGUUGAUAAAUCAAACAUAAUUUCAGCCAUGUUUAUACAGUUCAUAGUACAUUCGUAAGAGGUGAAAUUUUCUGACUAAUGCCAACAGCAAAAUUGGACCAUUGCAAGUACUGUAGAUGUAUGUUUUGUAUUGUAUUGAUUUGAUGCAUGACUUUUUUUUUUACAAUUUAUGUACAUGUUCUUAAUGUUAACUGCAAGUAGAUGAGGGUUAUUUGAGACUGAGUCAAUCAGUAUUUCAUCUGAAUAGCAUGAAUUUAAUUAACGCAUACUGAAUACUUGAGAUUCCUUCCCCCCCAAAAAAAAAUGAUGAAAGUCAGUAAUCAGUUUGCAUUUUCGUUGUGCAUGAUGCAAUGAAGUGCAUGGCUUCACUUUUUGUCUCGCCCACCAGAGGUGAAGGCGAGACUUAGGGAUCCAAAUGUCGUCCGUCGUCCAUCACAAACCUACAUGUAAUGACACAUAACUCCACAACCGUAAGUCGCUUUUCAACCAAACUUGGAUGGUAGAUGGACUUGUGGGACCUGCAUGUUAUGCUGCAGUCGGAGGUCACAUGGUAAGAUUAAAGGUCAUUUUCAGGUCAACGUUAAAGUUUACAUGCAAGACUCUCUUAUGACACCUAACUCCGCAACCGUAAGUCACUUUUCAACCAAACUUGGAUGGUAGAUGGACUUGGGGGACCUGCAUGUUAUGCUGCAGUCGGAGGUCACAUGAUAAGGUCAAAUGUCAUUUUCAGGUCAACGUUAAAGUUUACAUGCAAGACUCUCUUAUGACACCUAACUCCGCAACCGUAAGUCGCUUUUCAACCAAACUUGGAUGGUAGAUGGACUUGGGGGACCUGCAUGUUAUGCUGCAGUCAGAGGUCACAUGGUUAGGUCAAAGGUCAUUUUCAGGUCAACAUUAAAGUUUACGUGCGAGGCUCUUAUGACAAGUGUAAUUCCAUCCCAGUCAUUUCACAAUGAAGUUUUGAUAAAAUUCUGUUGCGUGCCCUCGCAAAUCACGAUAUUUCUGGUUAUUUUCAUAAGUGGGCGAGACACAAAAUCGCUUUUGCCUUGUUAUUCAAUGUCUGUUCAUUAUUGACUCACAUAAGGCCUGAUUAUUUUUGUGCAACUUUCAUUUUACUAAUACAAAAUUGAUGAUUCAUUUUUUAAUGGAAAAAACACAAAGGAAUGAACAUGUGCAUGAAUUAAUGAAUAAACCAUAAAAGGAAGGAAUGAAUUGCUUCUUCUCUUCAAAACAUUGGAGUGUAGAGGAAUAUGAUAUUUUGUUAUCUCACAAUCACACGAUCACACAAAUAAUGUAUUUUGAUUGUAAGAUGUCAUCAAUUUAUUACAGUUCUGUUGAACAAGCAUUUACAUGUAGCUUUGAUUUCUUUUUUUACCCCUAUGAUUGCAUGAGAUAUUUUUAUUUUUUUUAAUCACAAUCUCCAAGUUGUAAAUAGCCACUGUAGAACGAAUAUGUGUUAGACUGCUUUUAUCUUGGAAGAUAUUUUUUAGCUCCUUGAGUCCUAACUUUGCCACAUCUAUGCUGGUUUGUUACAAUCUGGAAUUGUAGUCUAUGAUGAUAUCUUUGUUACAGCUGUGGCCACCGUGGGGGCAUUGACUCUGUGGUGAGGCAUACAUAAGGAAACUGGUAUUGCUAGAUUACACUUAUGGGUAUUGCUAGAUUACACUCGUGAAUUGUUAAUAUAUAUGGUAAGUAAUUAUCAUAUUGCAGUUACGGUUCCAUCAGUUGCUGCGUGCCUGCACAUAACCAAUCAUCUUUGUUUCAUCAUGGUUCUCAUUCAUUUGUUAAUAGCGAAAGUCAAUGGCGCGAAUGUAUCAUUCUUGAAUGGUGUGUAAUGGUGCAUCCACAUUUUUGUAGAUUAAGUGCAAAAUGAUUGGUGAAGAGUGAAUUAUUAGAGAAUCAUGCUGUCUACUCGAAAGAAAGUGAUGUUAGAUGGAGCUUAUUUUCUUCUUAGUUCAUGAUGAGGAAUUGAGAUGAGAAGUGAACUUAAUGGACUUGUACACUUCUUAACCAUGUUUUUCUUCAUGAUUUUACAAAACAGUAUUCAAAGUUGUGGAGGUACCAUGGCUGAGUGGUCUGAGGCGCCAGACUAGGCACAUUAGAGUCCUGGGUUUGAUGCCACAUCCAUAGCAUCCAUGUCUGUGAGCAAGGCAUUCAUUCAGCAGUGCUCUUUUGUCCUAUUUAAUUAAAUGAAAAUACACAUUCUUGGUAAACUGUGUGUGUACUUGUUUUAUUCUUUAUAAGAAAGAA